UACGUAGGUGGCAAGCGUUGUCCGGAAUUAUUGGGCGUAAAGAGCAUGUAGGCGGGAAUCUAAGUCUGUUGUGAAAAUGCGGGGCUCAACCCCGUAUUGCGAUGGAAACUGGGUUUCUUGAGUGCAGGAGAGGAAAGGGGAAUUCCCAGUGUAGCGGUGAAAUGCGCAGAUAUCAGGAGGAACACCGGUGGCGAAGGCGGCGAGCUGGUCCGUUACUGACGCUGAGGCGCGACAGCGUGGGGAGCAAACA
rnacentral:rRNA from 1 species